CCAUGACACCCAAAAGCGAUCUUGGCUGCCUGUGUCCCAGUCACCGGCAAUGCAGGGAAAGGAUACAGAAAGACCUGUUCCCCAAGUUUGAGGGCAUCCAUCCUGACUCCUCCAAAGUCUGGAACUUUUCUACA
rnacentral:snoRNA from 14 species